UGGGGAAUAUUGCACAAUGGGCGCAAGCCUGAUGCAGCCAUGCCGCGUGUAUGAAGAAGGCCUUCGGGUUGUAAAGUACUUUCAGCGGGGAGGAAGGGAGUAAAGUUAAUACCUUUGCUCAUUGACGUUACCCGCAGAAGAAGCACCGGCUAACUCCGUGCCAGCAGCCGCGGGAAUACGGAGGGUGCAAGCGUUAAUCGGAAUUACUGGGCGUAAAGCGCACGCAGGCGGUUUGUUAAGUCAGAUGUGAAAUCCCCGGGCUCAACCUGGGAACUGCAUCUGAUACUGGCAAGCGUGAGUCUCGUAGAGGGGGGUAGAAUUCCAGGUGUAGCGGUGAAAUGCGUAGAGAUCUGGAGGAAUACCGGUGGCGAAGGCGGCCCCCUGGACGAAGACUGACGCUCAGGUGCGAAAGCGUGGGGAGCAAACA
rnacentral:rRNA from 1 species